rnacentral:rRNA from 1 species
UACCAGCACCCCGAGUGGUCGGGACGAUUAUUGGGCCUAAAGCAUCCGUAGCCGGUUUUACAAGUCCUCCGUUAAAUCCAGCCGCUUAACAGAUGGGCUGCGGAGGAUACUAUAAGACUAGGAGGCAGGAGAGGCAAGCGGUACUCAGUGGGUAGGGGUAAAAUCCGUUGAUCCAUUGAAGACCACCAGUGGCGAAGGCGGCUUGCCAGAAUGCGCUCGACGGUGAGGGAUGAAAGCUGGGGGAGCAAACCGG